UUUGGUUCCAACCACGCUGAGGGGCAGAGCCCUCUCCUCAGAGGAGCAAGGUCUAGGACAAGGAAGAUAACGACAACAGCACUAACGCUAACGAAACACUUACUAAGUGCCAGGUGCGUAUUCUGCCCCCAGUGCUUUACAUACGUCAAUUCGUUUAACCGCCACAACGCUAUUAUCCCCAUCUCAUAGAUGGGAAGACUGAGGCACAGAGAGGCCUAAGCAACUUUGCCCAAACACACAGCGGCGCAGCCCAGGAGGCGGCUCCAGAGGCCACGCUGUUCACACUUCUCGCUUAAGGGAAGAGAAAGCUGGGAGAAGACCCAAGAGAAGUCAUGCCCACAUCCUCCCUCCAGCCGGCAGUUCUAGGGCUGCGGCUGCUUUCGCUUCCUUCUUAAUUUUUCUGACAAGAACAGAUGCCACCGCAGCUGACAACCAGCCUGUCGGUGUGAACGGGAAGGCAGGUCCGGCCGCUCGUUUGUCUGGCCUAGUGCACACAGACUUGCCAGAGCUGUGCCGGCUACAGGAGCACAAGGAGGGAGCAGUCACUCUCACUGUCCUCAAGGCUGAUGGCCCCUCAGAGCCUGGCAUGAAGAGGGCUUUGACUUUGACGGAGCAGGACUCUGAAGCCCCGGCUGCCUGGGUGCCUUCGACCAAGUGAACCGCACAAGGUCCUAAGCUCCACAUCUGUAAACCGGGGCGCGGACAGCACCUGCUCCGUUGGGGGCUGGGAGGACUGAGCUCACACGGGGCUCUUGUCAUCCACGGCAGCUCUUUGCACGCACGUGCGGAUGCGUUCCACGCUGCGCUCAUGCCCCUUCUGCCUCAGCCCCCACAGGAGGGGUGUGGACACUCUGAGACCCUGGUCUCAGAGGAGGGAAGAGCUCGGCUUGGGUGAAACGGCUCCGGGCCCCAAACCAGGCUGAUGCUUCCCCCUGGUUAACAACUGCGGUCCAGGCAGCGGCCCCAGCCCCUGCUAAUUACCAUGAUUAGCACUGAGCAAGCUGCUGCAUUUUAUGACUCUCCAAACCAAAAAAAAUAAUUAAAGCAAUUACUGUCAUUAA